rnacentral:misc_RNA from 1 species
GGAAGGAUCAUUACUGAACUGUCGACACGAGUUGUUGCUGGUCCUCAAAUGGGGGCAUGUGCACACUCUGUUUACACACCCAUUCACACCUGUGCACCCCUCGGUAGUUCUGUGGUGUGGGGGACCCUGUCCUCCCACUGUGGUUCUACUUCUUUACACACACACAGUUAUAAAGUCUCAUGGAAUGUUUGUCGCGUUUAACGCAAUACAAUACAACUUUCAGCAACGGAUCUCUUGGCUCUCGCAUCGAUGAAGAACGCAGCGAAAUGCGAUAAGUAAUGUGAAUUGCAGAAUUCAGUGAAUCAUCGAAUCUUUGAACGCACCUUGCGCCCUUUGGCUAUUCCGAAGGGCAUGCCUGUUUGAGUAUCAUGAACACCUCAACUCUCAUGGUUUGCCAUGAUGAGCUUGGACUUUGGGGGUCUUGCUGGCCUAU